rnacentral:rRNA from 1 species
UACGGAGGAUCCGAGCGUUAUCCGGAUUUAUUGGGUUUAAAGGGUGCGCAGGCGGAAGAUUAAGUCGGUGGUGAAAUUUUGCAGCUCAACUGUAAAAGUGCCAUUGAUACUGGUUUUCUUGAGUGUGGAUGAAGUAGGCGGAAUUUGUGGUGUAGCGGUGAAAUGCAUAGAUAUCACGAGGAACUCCGAUUGCGCAGGCAGCUUACUAAACUACUACUGACGCUCAGGCACGAAGGCGUGGGGAGUCAAACAGGAUUAGAUACCCCU